AUGUGCUCGCUGCAGGAUGACAACCACAACACUCCAGAACCACCCCCCUCCAAGGAGGCGGGGUUACGCCAUCAGCCAAUCGGAGCCCGCGAUCCCGGGUGUCCAACCUAUGGGGUGGCCGUGGCCGUGCAGGGGGAGGACAUGGGGUGGUCCGGGAGGGGCCGCGUCCGUGGGAGGAGUGCACGUGUCCAGAGAGGCUGGGAACCCGCUGGCGUCCAGCUGCCGAGGCGCCCGCCCGGUGUCCGAGUCCAGCUGCCCAGUGCCGUCUUGGACUGGGCAAGGCAGGCGAUCGUCCACCGAGGAAGACCUGUCCAUGUGUCCAGUUCCCGGCGAGAGGGACAGACACAAAUAACAACAAUAGUACCUCGCGCAGACCGGGCGGGGAGGAAAGUUUCUGGCCCGCGCCAGAGUGGAGACAGCCAAAGGCAGGGAGAUGCUAUGCAAGACAGGAGGGUGACACAGUGGGAAGAAGGGGGACAACCGGAGGGCUGCGCGGGCAGGACAGGGUCCAGGGUGCGGUCCCCGGGAGGCGAACCGCGCGGGAUGCGCUGUCCAAGGUGCAAGGGAGGCGGUUGGUGCGUGGCAGGCGCGGAGCCCGAGCGGACACUAGCCCGCCAGAGGCAAAAAGAGCGGAGAACAGCUGUGCGGGGCGCCGGACACCCCCAGCUCGUAAAAGUGCGGGAGCCCGGGGAGCGGCGGCGAAGGGCGCAGGGGGCUCCCCCGCACCGCUGCCUUCCAGCCUCACCUCCAGCUCUGCUCCCCUCCCCCCUCGCCCACUCCUCUCGGUGCCUUGUCCCCGGGCCGCGGCGGGGGCGGGACCGGGAGCCCCCCACCCCCGGACUGCGAGUCCCGACGCCCCAGGGAUGCUGCGGGCCGCGGAGCCGCUUACCUGGGGCCACGGUGCGGAGAUUCAAGACAAGCGAGCGCGGGGCGCGGCGCGGCUCCUCCUCGCCUCGGCGUCUCCUCCGGAUCCCGCUUCUGCCGGACUCCGUCCGGGGCUGAGAGCAGCCAGACGGGGCCAGACUGCGGCCGCCGCUCGCGCCGCCGCCGCUGCCGCAGACAGAGGACGCCCCGUGGCGGCUGGAAGCCUGUUGACCUGCCAUGUGACCUCGGAGGCUUCACCUACCACACUUCCUUUGCCGUGCCUGCACAAGCUGAAUAACACCUUCCUUACCCAUUUAUUAAGAAAAUUCUGUGAAGCAACAUGAGAUAGACUCCUUGGAAUUGUAGAAUGUUGGCUCCACAUCAAGUGUGUGGCAGGAACUUGGAAGACAGACAUGACUGAGAAAUUCCUGAAACCAGGGUGGCAACUUUUGCAAGACUGCACUAGGGAAUGGGAUAGGUAAAGAUAUGAAAAAGAACAGUCAGGUGGAGAAGACGCACAUCUUCCCUGUGCCCUCUAUCCAACUCACGCUCCUCCACUCCACCAUCAUACCGUCAGUCUCUAUCCAACUCACGCUCCUCCACUCCACCGUCAUGCCAUCAGUUUCCUGAGAUGUCAACUAGUAGGAAUCCACCCCUCGAG
rnacentral:lncRNA from 1 species